GACGAACGCUGGCGGCGUGCUUAACACAUGCAAGUCGAACGGAAAGGCCCUGCUUUUGUGGGGUGCUCGAGUGGCGAACGGGUGAGUAACACGUGAGUAACCUGCCCUUGACUUUGGGAUAACUCCAGGAAACUGGGGCUAAUACCGGAUAGGAGCUCCUGCUGCAUGGUGGGGGUUGGAAAGUUUCGGCGGUUGGGGAUGGACUCGCGGCUUAUCAGCUUGUUGGUGGGGUAGUGGCUUACCAAGGCUUUGACGGGUAGCCGGCCUGAGAGGGUGACCGGCCACAUUGGGACUGAGAUACGGCCCAGACUCCUACGGGAGGCAGCAGUGGGGAAUAUUGCACAAUGGGCGGAAGCCUGAUGCAGCAACGCCGCGUGCGGGAUGACGGCCUUCGGGUUGUAAACCGCUUUCGCCUGUGACGAAGCGUGAGUGACGGUAAUGGGUAAAGAAGCACCGGCUAACUACGUG
rnacentral:rRNA from 1 species